rnacentral:rRNA from 1 species
GGGGAAUAUUGCACAAUGGGGGAAACCCUGAUGCAGCGACGCCGCGUGGAGGAAGAAGGUCUUCGGAUUGUAAACUCCUGUUGUUGAGGAAGAUAAUGACGGUACUCAACAAGGAAGUGACGGCUAACUACGUGCCAGCAGCCGCGGUAAAACGUAGGUCACAAGCGUUGUCCGGAAUUACUGGGUGUAAAGGGAGCGCAGGCGGGAAGACAAGUUGGAAGUGAAAUCUAUGGGCUCAACCCAUAAACUGCUUUCAAAACUGUUUUUCUUGAGUAGUGCAGAGGUAGGCGGAAUUCCCGGUGUAGCGGUGGAAUGCGUAGAUAUCGGGAGGAACACCAGUGGCGAAGGCGGCCUACUGGGCACCAACUGACGCUGAGGCUCGAAAGUGUGGGUAGCAAACAGGAUUAGAUACCCUGGUAGUCCACACCGUAAACGAUGAUUACUAGGUGUUGGAGGAUUGACCCCUUCAGUGCCGCAGUUAACACAAUAAGUAAUCCACCUGGGGAGUACGACCGCAAGGUUGAAACUCAAAGGGAUUGACGGGGGCCCGCACAAGCAGUGGAGUAUGUGGUUUAAUUCGACGCAACGCGAAGAACCUUACUAAGUCUUGACAUCCUGCGACGAUGCUGGAAACAGUAUUUUCCUUCGGGACGCAGAGACAGGUGGUGCAUGGUUGUCGUCAGCUCGUGUCGUGAGAUGUUGGGUUAAGUCCCGCAACGAGCGCAACCCUUACUGUCAGCUACUACGCAAGAGGACUCUGGCAGGACUGCCGUUGACAAAACGGAGGAAGGUGGGGAUGACGUCAAAUCAUCAUGCCCUUUAUGACCUGGGCUACACACGUACUACAAUGGCGUUAAACAAAGAGAAGCAAUACCGCGAGGUGGAGCAAAACUUCAAAAAUGGUCUCAGUUCGGACUGCAGGCUGCAACCCGCCUGCACGAAGUUGGAAUUGCUAGUAAUCGUGGAUCAGCAUGCCACGGUGAAUACGUUCCCG